rnacentral:rRNA from 1 species
GAUGAACGCUGGCGGCGUGCCUAAUACAUGCAAGUCGAGCGAACAGACGAGGAUCUUGCUCCUCUGACGUUAGCGGCGGACGGGUGAGUAACACGUGGAUAACCUACCUAUAAGACUGGGAUAACUUCGGGAAACCGGAGCUAAUACCGGAUAAUAUAUUGAACCGCAUGGUUCAAUAGUGAAAGACGGUUUUGCUGUCACUUAUAGAUGGAUCCGCGCCGCAUUAGCUAGUUGGUAAGGUAACGGCUUACCAAGGCAACGAUGCGUAGCCGACCUGAGAGGGUGAUCGGCCACACUGGAACUGAGACACGGUCCAGACUCCUACGGGAGGCAGCAGUAGGGAAUCGUCCGCAAUGGGCGAAAGCCUGACGGAGCAAAGCCGCGUGAGUGAUGAAGGUCUUCGGAUCGUAAAACUCUGUUAUUAGGGAAGAACAAAUGUGUAAGUAACUAUGCACGUCUUGACGGUACCUAAUCAGAAAGCCACGGCUAACUACGUG